rnacentral:tRNA from 1 species
GCGGGACUAGCUCAGUUGGUAGAGCACGACCUUGCCAAGGACGGCGUCGCGAGUUCGAGUCUCGUUUCCCGCUCCA